GGUUGCGAUCAUACCAGCACUAAUGCACCGGAUCCCAUCAGAACUCCGCAGUUAAGCGUGCUUGAGCGAGAGUAGUACUAGGGUGGGUGACCCCCUGGGAAGUCCUCGUGUUGCAACCC
rnacentral:rRNA from 1 species